rnacentral:lncRNA from 1 species
AUGGAGGUCUCCACUGGGCACUCCCCCUCACCGUGGAGGUCUCCACUGGGCACUCCCCCUCACCGUUCAGGUCUCCACUGGGCACUCCCCCUCACCGUGCAGGUCUCCACUGGGCACUCCCCCUCACCGUGCAGGUCUCCACUGGGCACUCCCCCUCACUGUGCAGGUCUCCACUGGGCACUCCCCCUCACUGUGCAGGUCUCCACUGGGCACUCCCCCUCACUGUGCAGGUCUCCACUGGGCACACCCCUGACUCUGCAGGUCUCCACUGGGCACUCCCCCUCACUGUGCAGGUCUCCACUGGGCACCCCCCUCACUGUGCAGGUCUCCACUGGGCACCCCCCCUCACUGUGCAGGUCUCCACUGGGCAACCCCCCUCACUGCGCAGGUCUCCACUGGGCACCCCCCCUCACUGUGCAGGUCUCCACUGGGCACCCCCCCUCACUGUGCAGGUCUCCACUGGGCACCCCCCUCACUGUGCAGGUCUCCACUGGGCACCCCCCCUCACUGUGCAGGUCUCCACUGGGCACCCCCCCCUCACUGUGCAGGUCUCCACUGGGCACUCCCCCUCACUGUGCAGGUCUCCACUGGGCCCCCCCCCUCACUGUGCAGGUCUCCACUGGGCACUCCCCCUCACUGUGCAGGUCUCCACUGGGCACCCCCCCUCUCUGUGCAGGUCUCCACUGGGCACUCCCCCUCACUGUGCAGGUCUCCACUGGGCACCCCCCCUCACUGUGCAGGUCUCCACUGGGCACCCCCCCUCACUGUGCAGGUCUCCACUGGGCACUCCCCCUCACUGUGCAGGUCUCCACUGGGCACUCCCCCUCACUGUGCAGGUCUCCACUGGGCACCCCCCCUCACUGUGCAGGUCUCCACUGGGCACUCCCCCUACUGUGCAGGUCUCCACCGGGCAUCCCCCGCUGUGAGGGAGGCCUUGGUCUUACCACGCAGGUUCCAUCCCUCCAGGUUCUGCCUACUGGCAAUGAGAGCUUCUCUGAAUUCUCAGUCAGUAUCAGAAAUUCUGAUUCCCGGACUGUGAGACUUAGCAGGCUUCUGAAAUGCACUUCCCAGCACUCCUCAUUGGAGCCUUAG